GGGGAUAUAGCUCAGUUGGUAGAGUGUGUGUUUCACAUGCACAAGGUCCCUGGGUUCACUACUCAGCACCACCA
rnacentral:tRNA from 1 species